GUCCUGUCUAGAGCUGAGGCGCGCGGUACAUUUGAUUUAAGUAACUGAGUGAGGCGGGACACGCUAUGGGAGGCCGUGGACUCUGAUGACUUCCGGUUCCCCUUGGCUCCCCACUGUGAAGGAAGCAGGGUUCGGGCGCCGGGACUGGAAUGCUGGCCCGGCAUGCUCAUCGUGGAGGUCGCCUGGUCUAUGAGACUAAGGUGAAGAGCCCUGUUCUACUGUGCCCUUCCACUGUGAGGUUCUGCCUUACCUCAGGCCCAGAAACGUGGAACCAGCCUGUUGAGGACAGGAACCUCUGAAACCACAAACCCAGAUGAAUCCUCCUUCAAGGAAGGGUAUGCUGAAGGAGGGGGUCAUGGACUUGGUCACCCAGACAACCAUCCUGCCCCUGCUGUUUGGCUGCCUGGGGAUUUUCAGCCUCUUCCGGCUGCUACAGCGGAUCCGCUCCAAAGCUUAUCUGAGGAAUGCUGUAGUGGUGGUGACUGGUGCCACCUCCGGACUCGGCAGAGGUAAGUCAUGGGGUCUGUGAUGCCGGGAGUGGAAUCAGCAGGCUUCACAGGCAUCACUGGCCAUGCAGAAGGACUGUCCGUGGUCCAGUUGGAAAAGGGCAUGUGAACAAUGAGAAAGUCUGUGUGGGGGAUAAAAGCAAGUGAAGAGACCACCCUUGGAAAAGCACUGGCUUUCCUCAGCUCAGCUGCCUGUUGAAAGAGGGAU